UCAUCGACAUCAUUGUGUUCUACAGAAAGUGUAGCUAACACAAAUAGCAUUCCAAAAACUGAUAUCCAUGGUCCUGAAAAUACUACUAAUAAUAGAUAUUUAUCAAUGUUUAUGGCACCGAGCAUUAAUAAUGAUAUAAAGAAUAAUUAUUACAAUGACGAACUUAACUAUGACAGUGAUGAAAGUUCACAAUUUAGCAUUGAUAUUUCGUAUGAUUAUUCAGAUGAGUCAUCAAUACCAGAUUGGUAUAAAACUGAACAAAUUAAUCAGUUAAAUAUGGACGAUGAUUUUAUUGUAAAUAUUCCAUUUCCAAAGUGACAAUUUGUAAAACAAACUAUGGAAUCUACUUAAAAUGAGUCUAUAGGUUAUAAAUUUUAAUCAAAAAUAUCAUACGAACUAAGAUUUCUCAUGCGGCUAUUUCAUUUACAUGAAACAUAACAUUAUUCCUUCAACAUAUUUAAACAAUUACUUUGAAUAAAAUGUGAAAACAUAAUAUUGUUAAGUGGAAAUAUUAUCAAAUGAAUUCUUAC